UACGUAGGGUGCAAGCGUUGUCCGGAAUUAUUGGGCGUAAAGAGCUCGUAGGCGGUCUGUCGCGUCGGCUGUGAAAACCCGGGGCUCAACCCCGGGCCUGCAGUCGAUACGGGCAGACUAGAGUGCGGUAGGGGAGACUGGAAUUCCUGGUGUAGCGGUGAAAUGCGCAGAUAUCAGGAGGAACACCGGUGGCGAAGGCGGGUCUCUGGGCCGUAACUGACGCUGAUGCGCGAAAGCGUGGGGAGCAAACGGG
rnacentral:rRNA from 1 species